UGUAUUUCCUAACGGGCCUCAUAAAUAUCUCUCGUUACUCCAGAGUCUACAUUGGUGUGGAUGAUUAUGAAAUGAUAAUGAUGCUUCAUCAGUGUCAUUCAGAUUAGGCACUGGAGAUGUGAUGCUGCAGAGCCCACAGCUGACUCAUUAGCCCAGUUUCCACCCAGCUGUGUUAUAAUCUGCUCUCUGCACCGUUGGGAGACCUGGGCUGAGCUCCCUCCUGUGCCGUAGAUGUACUGUGUGACCUUCGGUGAGAGUGGCCUAUAGGUCUGGUUCAGGGACUGAGUUCUGCCUUGAAAUUGCUUGAAUUGGAGGGAUCUGUGGCACUCCAACAGUACUGUUAGCCGUGAAGAGCAGGUGAAUGUGCAGAUCAGAAGCUGUCACCUUUGAAACCACAGAUCUGCACUGUAAAAGGGAACAAAAGGACUUCCCAUUUCCUGAGCCUGCAGUCACGUUUGUGAAGUUCAGAUGUUCUCCAGAUCAAGCCAUUAUGGAGAAAUGUGUUUUUUUCUGAUCAUAAUAAUUAGUGAUGAAAAGAUAACUGAAAUCCCUGGGAUUUUGGAGGACAGCUUCUGUCAGCACAGUCUUCUCUUUGUUCAACUGUACAGAGGCACCCAGAAGCAGCAGGGAACAGCAAGAAAAACAAGAGGAGACAAAGCAGGAAGGCUGCACACCAUGACCUGGGGACUCUCAUGGCAGCACGCAUGCUGGGAAGGUGAGCUCCACACCAAGCACUGAACUUGUCCUGUCCCAACCUGCAGUAAGUGCCCACUGCUUCUGCACACGUGAUGCUUGCCUUGGAGUUGUGGCUCUUUCAGAGAGCUGUUGUGAAGGAGGUACACAAAGAUGAUAAUCCUGGAAAAAGAAGGCUCUAAAGAUCCGCAGGUCACCGUGUGUGGCGUUGGUGUCUGCAGAAUGUCCGUACCUGAAGAAUCUGCCAAGCACUAUUUGAUGUUGUUCCUUGCUGGGGAUGUGUGUUUUGGCACCCUGUCCAUUAACACUCCCUGAAAUAGGGAGACAGAUCUGUGAGAUGGAAAUUUCUGACCUCUUGUAAAUGAGGCUUUUAUUCUCAGCAAGCUUGGUAUCCCUAAAUGUACAGUUAAUAUUCUUCUGUAUCAGGAAAAGCUGCUCAGAUACGUGGUCUCAACUGAUUCAGGCUUCAAGUUGGAAAGUUUUUCGUGCUGUUUAUAGAUGGAGAUGGUGGCUCUGCAUAUGCUGGUGUAUGUUGUUCCUAAAAGUAAUGACAUUUCCUUUAGACACCUAAGUUCUGAACCAAGAAUCUUGUUUCUGGAGGGCUGUGAAAUGCACGUAGCGCCGCACUGAAUCGAUGGGAUUAAUGAGUUCUCUCUACCUGUUUUGUUCGCUAAUGUCUGCUCUUCUGAAUUGGUUUGUUUUGCUUAACACACACGCUGUAUCAACCUAACUAUGUAGUUUUGGGCUAGAAGUCAGGUUUUCUGUGUUGCUAUCAGGUCUUCAACUUUUCAAAAUGAAAGGUCUUUAAUAUUAGUCUGGUUUUGAGCCAAUUUCUUAAUAAGAAUAACGUAUUAUAAAUUGCUGAAA
rnacentral:lncRNA from 1 species